CAUCGUGUUUUGAUCAAUAAUUUAAGAUAUAGCCUGCCCAAUGAUUUUUAAAUGGCCGCGGUAUAUUGACCGUGCAAAGGUAGCAUAAUCAUUAGUUUCUUAAUUAGAAGCUGGAAUGAAUGGUUGGACGAGAAAAUAACUGUCUCUAUUUAAUAUAAUAGAAUUUAAUUUUUAAGUUAAAAAGCUUAAAUUUUUAUUAAAGACGAGAAGACCCUAUAGAGUUUUAUAAUUUGAAUUUUAAAUUAAUUUCGGAAUUUAAUUUAAUUAUAGUAAUAAUUAUUUGGUUGGGGUGAUUUAAAGAUAAAAAAAACUCUUUAUUUUUUAGAUUAUUAAUUUAUAUAUUUUUGAUCCAUUAUUAGUGAUUAUAAGAAUAAAUUACCUUAGGGAUAACAGCGUAAUCUUUUUGGAGAGUUCUUAUUUAUAAAAGGGAUUGCGACCUCGAUGUUGGAUUAAAAUUAAUUAUUGGUGCAGAAGCUAAUAAAUUAAGUCUGUUCGACUUUUAAAAUUUUACAUGAUCUGAG
rnacentral:rRNA from 1 species